rnacentral:rRNA from 1 species
UACAGAGGUCUCAAGCGUUGUUCGGAUUCAUUGGGCGUAAAGGGUGCGUAGGCGGCGCGGUAAGUCGGGUGUGAAAUCUUGGAGCUUAACUCCGAAACUGCAUUCGAUACUGCCGUGCUUGAGGACUGGAGAGGAGACUGGAAUUUACGGUGUAGCGGUGAAAUGCGUAGAUAUCGUAAGGAAGACCAGUGGCGAAGGCGGGUCUCUGGGGCAUAACUGACGCUGAGGAGCGAAAGCAUGGGGAGCGAACAGG